rnacentral:snRNA from 1 species
AUUCAUACUUUGCAGAGGAAAUACCAUGUCAUAAGAGUGGUUUUUUCAGGAGGAGGGUCAUGCAUUGUACUUCGGGUAUGCUGUUGAUCCCUAUGAUUUCUUCAAAUGUGGGGAACUCAAUUGCAUAAUUUGCAUUAGUGGUAAAUUACAUUUGUUAUUUCUUU